CUCAGAUUUUACAUAAGAGUACAAUAAACAUCGUUUAAAACAAUUUAACUUCCCUGUGAAACAAGUCUUUUCGAACACAAGGAUAUAGGUAUUUUCAGCUUUUGGAACAGCUUAUAUUUACCUCCUCCAGGAAGGCCCCCUGUCUUUUCCACUUCUCUUAGAUCAGGUUAGGUUAGGUUAUCCUCCUAUGGUUCUCACACUUUUCAGUACCUGCUCACCGAGUUAUGAACUAUCGCUGUGAGCUUAUCCAUCAAUCGGUUAUCCUCUAUUCUAAAUCCCAUCUCCUGUAAAAUCAGGAUUCUAUCUUUCAACAACCUUGACGUUAAGACUCUAUGAACCGCCAUAACGUUUUUGAUCUAGUUUUGCAGAUACCAACACACACACACAUACAUACAUAAUAGUGGAUUUUACUUAAAAGUCUUUAUGAACAUUCAUGGUAAAUACAAUUCAUUCCAAAGCAAAUAAACUAGAUACACAAAUAUGAGAAUACACAUAUUUACUUUGUAAAAAUGCAGGAAAUUUACAAUAAAUACACUUAAAUGUAUACUCACACCUAAACAACACACUUCAGGGUUUAUCACUAAACUGUUAAAGCACCUCUACAAUUUAAGAUUUGUACCCAAGAACCACAUUUGAUCAAAUGGCAAUCUGAGUACUUACAAGGAGCAAAUUGGGUGCAUAUUCAGCAUUUGCCUCUGACUGUGCAAAUUUGAAUGAAACAAUUAGAAAUAUGUUCCAGUAGGAAAAGCAUUACACAAAGAAAACAAAAAAAUGGAGUAGAAAUCCUCAAGGCCUCAAGUGCAGGAAAUAAAUGGUGUUUUUUUGAGUAAACUAUGACCCAGAGAAGAGGAUAGAGUGUGGAAUAGACAAUGUGGUGAAGUUAAAAAUCAUUUCAUGUGGACAAAUCUGUGGCUUUUCCAACCCUGUGCUUUGGAAAGAUGGAAAAUUAAAUGAAGUACUUUAUCUUAGGCUUCCUCCACCCACCGGUGGACCCCAUUUCACUGUAUUUAUUAAUGUUAUGCUUUUUGAAAGAUUAUGCUAGCAGUAGACAAAAUAAUUUAGUUCCAGUUCUGAAUACAUACCUAGGUGAGUCUGACCCAACUUGAGCCUCCAAAUUGCACGAAAUUAUUUCAUGUACUAAAAAACCCUUACAUACAUUUCACAAAUUAAACAGUACAUAAAAAUGUUAUGUGCAUUUGUGUGUCUAAAUUAUAUAUA